rnacentral:misc_RNA from 1 species
ACACUUCUCAAAUAGUUGGAAAUAUAAAACCUAACGAUCAACAAAUCCAGACAACCAUUGUACACUUCUCAAAUAGUUUGGAAAUUUAAAACCUAACGCAAUAUAGUACAUACACCCCUGUAUUCAUCUGUAAUUACCCUCCAAACAUUUAUCCAUAUUAGAGCAAGAAAUCAAACAUAGAGAGGGACACAGGCGAGCUCAGACGUCGACGCUGCAGGCGGAGAGUUGCUGAAACCGAAUCGUCGGCCCGAACUCACUCCCUUUUCGGUCAAACGUGAGAAACGCCGGACAGCUAACAUCAAUAUGAUAAUGACCCGACGUCCACGUCCCAACCUUCCACCUCACCCGUCCAUCCAACAUAACAUGCAGCACCAGAAACCCCGCCGACUCAUCCUGCUCCAGUGCCUCCGCCAGGUACGGCGCAAUCGGUAUCGCCGUCCCGUACAAAAACGGUGACCAAACGUCUACAUCGUUGUGGCCUUGGUACUGGGGCGGGAUUAGAGUUGGGAGAGUAAUUUGCUGGUUCUUGUAGACGGCGUAGACGUCGAGCUUGUCGUAGAAGACGCCGAUGCGGUCGUUGGGGUUACGGGAGGAGAUGGUGACCUGGAGG